UCAUCUUGAAGACCUCUUCAUAAGUAGGAAUUAUUUGCUGCCCAGGCUAGAACUUCCACCAUGAAGAUACUUCAAAGCCUCUUACCGUGGGGGGCUCCAGAUGCUGCAGAUGUAAAGCACAAGACAGCCCAGUCCACGGGCCGCCCCUGAUCCCGUCUCCUAAAUCAGCCUUAUACCUCGAGCUUUGUAAUCCAAAUCACCAAGAGAAAAAAAACACCUUGGAAAUCAGUCUAAGGAGAAAUGGAGGUGAUGUCCUCUAAGGGUAGUUCAGAAGAUUGUGUCUAUUGGAUUUGAAAGUGCAAGAAACACCUAAGGACCUUUAAGCCUCAAAGAUGAGGGUGGGAACAACAGAGAAGAACCUAUUAUUGGGCCACCUAUCGAGCAAAAAGAAAAUACAGCAAUAGAGAUCAUUCUGGAUGCAUGGCAAACUGUGGCAGAUGGAGAAAGGGUUGGAGGCCAUGGGACCAACGCCUAGAGUUUUGAAGGAAUGUAGACAAGGUCUCCGGACUUGCCACCCAGGCUGAGUGCAGUGGUGUGAUCAUGGCUUACUUCAACCUCGACCUCCCCUGCUCAAGCGAUCCUCCUGCCUCAGCCUCUGGAGUAGCUGGGACUACAGGCACACACCACCACACCCGGAC